GUCCGUGUCCCGUGCCCUGAUCCGACUAGCAGCGGCUCCUCGGUGGUUCGCUCCAGACUGUGUCCUUGUUGAGUUGUCAGUACUCAGUAGCGUGUCGUCGUUUCGCCUGUCUGUCUUUUUGCCUGUCUGUCUUUUUAUCUGUCGCCGUGUGUGUAUCCCGUGUACACCUGAGGUGCACCCACCCGUGUCGUGUCUUGUUUUAGCCGCAGCUUAUUCCGUUCAUUUGGAUAGGACAAUGUCAUGUAUGAGAUGUUUUCCUGGUGCACUUGCUGCUCUUAUCUGUGUCGUGUCUGCUUGGUUCAGUGAUUUUGUUCAGCUGAGAAUUAUGUCAUCUUUCUUCCUUAGCCGUAGCUGUUUAGUAGGAGUGUUUGCUAUGCAUAUUCUCUGUUGGAAAGUUAUGCUGCCUGCCAUGGCAAGGCGUGCUUGUGCAAAGAUUGUGCCAGGCCUGAGAAAAGAUGUAUGCAAAUCACAACAGAAAUGACAUCAGUUUCUCAAGCAGUGAGACCCCGCACAGUUCCUGUGUAGAAAACUUAAACUGAACGUAUGCCAAUCACGCAUUGUAUCAGUUCAAGCACAGAAACUAGAGCUAAACAGAACUCGUCAUAGUGCACUGCCCUAUUGCUAUUUUGUUAGCUUAAAUUUGGUAAUGCGGCAGUGUGGAAGUAAAGGUAAUGGAGAGAGCCCAUACUCUUUUAAGUUUAGUGCACGGCUUAACUUUUUUGUCAGUGGAGCAGCAUAGGCAACCGGGCAGUAUACAAUGAUCCGCACGAAUUUCAGAGCGCUGCAGAUUAGAUUAACCAGCACAUUAGUACUAAUCAGGCUGGAAGGCACACCAACCCCCUCCCCCCCGCAUACCAUCAGGCAUUGACGCUGGUCGUCGUCUUCUUCCUCGGCCCAGGCCAUCGCGAUCCAGACCCAUAUCUCAAUCCCUGCUCGCCGGCCGGCCACCGGUCCUGCAGAAGCACAACAGCUAGUGGAUCAAAUUUGGGCAGGUAACUAUCAAUCUGCUGUUACUCUUGUUUUUCCACCUGCUGCUGCUGCUGCUGUCGAAAGACAUACCGAAUGGUACUUGUUUCAGCCUUACUAAGCGAAUUCGAAAGCUUCUUCUAGGCACACGCGCGCAUAGCAAACAACUUCAUCACCAAAUGCUUGUUCCCCUAGACCAUGUCACCUUGACUCAAGGUCCUCGAGUUCUAGCUUCUGUAGCCGUGAUUGUAGGCAGCAAAUAAGCACAUCUCAAACCAUCUACUACCUCUGUAUCAAAAUAUAAGACGUUUUUGUAGCCAUGGUUUCCUGCAUAUACAUCUUUUUAGCCAAAAAAAUGGCAUUGCUCUUAUUUCAAGGGUACUGCACCAUGGCAGGUGAUUGAUUGCAAAUGGACCAUGAAAUCAAUGCUUUGGAGCGCAUGCUGCUGGAUGAAAGCGCAGAGCCAACAGAUCUGCCAUUUUCACUUCUACAAGACAUCACAAACUGUUUCUCUGACGACCGGCGAAUCGGCAGCGGCGGGUUUGCGGUUGUUUAUAAGGUACUAUUGCAACUUGAAUAAUUUUCGUCAGACAUAACGACAGUUGACCUAAUAAGUACGUAAACAACAAUUGCACACCACAAUCACGUCAAUAUGUCAUCACACACAAGGUUGAUGCUCACUCUCUGCACGUUGAGGCCGCAGGGGAUGACCAGACAUGGGAUGGUCGCUGUAAAGAAGCUGUCCAAACUCUUUGACAUAGAAGAGAAGAAGUUCCACAAGGAGGUUGAAUGCUUGGUGAAGGCCAAGCACAAGAAUAUAGUACGAUUUCUGGGAUAUUGCGCUGAAACACAAGGUAAAAUUGCGGACUACGAGGGGAAGUUUGUCAUUGCAGAUACACGCAACUGGUUGCUCUGUUUUGAGUAUGUACCCAAUGGGAGCCUUGAUAAGUAUAUUGCAGGUAGGCUCAAUAGUUUUUAUUUCCAUCUUUAUUAUAUUCUUUAAGCGUCGUACAAGCAAUACAACUGUGUAAAAUGUUAUACAUUAUCUCUACCUAAAGUGCAAAAAUCUGAGAGGCCUUCCUCUGCACAAACAUUACAACUAUUCAAAAUAUUUUACAUUGUCUCAUAUUCAUAGAUCCACAUUAUAUUGUUUGUCUAAAGCACAAAAAUCUGAAAUCCUCUUCCUCUGUAGACCCAUUUCAUGGAAUUGAAUGGAGGGAGCGCUUUGAGAUAAUUAAGGCAAUAUGUGAGGGCUUACAUUAUCUUCAUGGCAAGCGUAUUCUUCAUUUGGAUCUCAAGCCUGAGAAUAUACUGAUAGAUGAUCACAUGGUACCCAAAAUUGCUGAUUUUGGUCUUUCGAGGUGCCUUAGUGAAGAGCAAACCCAGGUUUUCACUACACACCUAUGCGGAUCGUGGUAAGCCAACCUCAUAAAACUCCAUCUUUUUUUUUCAUGAAUUUUAUACUGGAUUUGCACAUAUGUAUAAUUCAUCCAUGGUCCUUGGACUCAUGUGGUGUGGUCACUUGGUUCGCAAACUUUAAAAGAUGUAGUUUGGGUCCUUAAACUUGUGUUUCUUUUUUACAUUUUUAUCCCAGCGUUCCUAAAUUGAUUCUUCCAUCAUCGGCCCAUGCUGAAAGCAAACGCCCAAUCGAGCAUAAAUUAAUAGAUACAAAUGCACCACAAUAGCAAAAUAAGAAAAUAACAAAAUAAUAGAAUGCCUCACUUACUUUGUGAUUGUGUACUUGACAAGAUCAAGGUUCUACUCACAACUAUUUGUCAAGCACCUCUUCAUGAUUCUAAAUCCACAGCUCGUGCAAUCGAGAAGCAACAAAGCCCCCAUCUAUGGAGCACACAACUCUAAGUGUUUGUGGAAGCCAUGGUAUGGCUUUGGGUCGGGACACAUUGGGCAUUUGGAAAUUGUAGUUUCGAGGACGAAUAGAGAUAAUGAGGAAUAGCUAUGAUGUGUAAACAAUAUGGAUCCGAGGACAAAAAAAACUCUUCCCAUGCUUAGCGUGUCCAUCCUCUUUGCAUUGUGGCAACAAAUCUUUUUUUCUUUGAUUGGCAGCUGAUCGUGUUUUGGAGCAAAGUGAAGCACUAAACAAAUUUUAGGGACCCCAAUAGUAAGUUUUUAAGUUCAAGAACCAAAGUGACUACACCAUACAAGUCUACCAAUCCAUGGAUGCAUUUUACUCUUUGCAUGUUCAUUGAUUGAUCUUUAUAUAUCUUCUUGCAGCGGAUAUUUGGCACCCGAAUUCUUUAGUGGACAACUGACAUUCGCGUCUGACAUAUAUAGUCUUGGUGUUGUAAUUAUGGAGAUACUAACAGGAAAGAAGGGGUAUCCAGAAGAUGAGAACGUGAGAGCAAUAAUUUAAGCAUUUGCUACUAAUUAAAGUAUAGCUUUUCAAUGCUUUACAUUAAAUGUUUCUUACGUAUUCGCAUAAUUCCAUCUUUUAAAUANNNNNNNNNNNNNNNNNNNNNNNNNNNNNNNNNNNNNNNNNNNNNNNNNNNNNNNNNNNNNNNNNNNNNNNNNNNNNNNNNNNNNNNNNNNNNNNNNNNNNNNNNNNNNNNNNNNNNNNNNNNNNNNNNNNNNNNNNNNNNNNNNNNNNNNNNNNNNNNNNNNNNNNNNNNNNNNNNNNNNNNNNNNNNNNNNNNNNNNNNNNNNNNNNNNNNNNNNNNNNNNNNNNNNNNNNNNNNNNNNNNNNNNNNNNNNNNNNNNNNNNNNNNNNNNNNNNNNNNNNNNNNNNNNNNNNNNNNNNNAUUUCAAUAUUAAUACCAACAUACCCCAAUAUGGAUAGCAUAAAUAUAUAUAUUUAUUAAACCUCUCAAGUUUUGCUACGUACCUUUUCGUACACAUAAAAGCAAUAUAUACACUAAAACAUCGAUGAGUACCACUUCGGAUUAAUACUUUAGUGACACCCACGAAAACUGAAAAAUUUCAUUUCUUCAGUUGUUUUAGAAUAAUAAAAAUAUAUUAUUUUUAUGUGUAGAAGUGGCAUGUCGCAAAAAAGCACGACGUUCAUGAUAUUUUUCAUGUAACCCACAUUGGGCUAUCCUUGAAUUGUUGUGGAGGUACUGAAAUAUAUGUGUACAAUCUUUUGUUUAAGGGGAUAUCAGAUGGCGCGGCCACAUUAUACUCCUAGGAUUAUACAAGAGUUGUCCUCAGACAUAUCUAUGUGGUAUAACUUAUUUUUCGUGUGAAUAACAAAAUUGUUAUCGGAUGGAGAUUUUGAGGAUUAUAUAUUAAUCUGUUGUCUACGGUUAAAGAGCACGAUGUGGGGCCGGAGAGCCGUACCAUCACCAUCACCAACUCUUAUUUAGAUAGAGAAACUCUAAAGAGAAGUCAAAAAAAUAUUGGCCAAUUUAUUUAUUUUCCAAACUUUUGCUUUUAUGUCUUUGGGUGACUUUGUUUGCGUCAUAUUUGUUGACUUAAUUCAUUAGUUCCCUACACUACAUUAGCGGCAAUUCGAUAUUUUAUCCACUAAGUGUUUCGAAAGAAUCAAAUUUUAGAAAUCUAAUAUUUUGGUAGAAAGUAAAAACUAAUAUUUUGGAAGAAAUCAUACAAUCCGUCCUUAUGCACACAUUAAUUAUGUGAUCACCCGUACGAAAUCGUACAAUCCAUCCUUAUGUACACAUUAUGCGAGAAUACUUAAGAACUUAAUUUGAAGUGUGUAUUUAUUUCCUCUGGGUCAAGUACUCAUUUGGAGUUUGCCCCCUCCCUCUAGUAAACUAUAAAUAUACUAUAUUUCUAACUCCUCAUUGCAACUUAUAGGUAGUUGAAAAUUGGAGGAAUCGGCUGGAGGGGGGCAUGCAGUUGGAGCAAGUAAGUGUAUGCACUCAUAUAGGGAUAGAGUGCAUGGAGCCGAACCCGAAGAAAAGACCGGCCGUACGGCAUAUAGUCGAUAGGCUUGCUGAAAUAGCAAGUAUUGUCCAAACAGACAUCACUGCUGCAUCAGUUGAGCAGCAGGUAAGCUUCGAGCAGCACAGAAUAGUAAGUACUUCUACAAAUGAAAUAGAGGAUGGUGCACAACGUCUUCAAAGGCUUCAAAAUGACCAAUGCCAGGAGAAGGAAGAUCAAUGGUCAAUACGGGGAUUGCAAGAUACGAAUCAAGACCCGAAAUACACAGGCAUUUCAAGCUCUAACUCUGGUGUGUCCGAAAAGUUGAGAAAUUUGAACAUCUUAAACAGAAAUCCACACACGGAUUUCGUGAGGAAUGGUGGAUCUACAAUGCAGCAACCAAAUAGUUUAAAGAUCUUCCUAGAGGAGGAGCUCAAGCCUAUCUUACAUACUGACAAUUUAAUUGGAGAGAAUGAAAAUGGUGUAGUUUACCGUGGUCAGCUCAUAGAUGGGACUGAUGUUGCAAUUAAAAAGUUACGUAAUGGCAUGUAAGGAACUCUGGAUUAGGUUUGAUCUUGGAAGGACAACACUUCCUUUACAGAACUUGAAAAACAGUAUGCUAUCCUCUGUAUGAUGUAUCAUAUUGAUUGUGGCUUGAUAUGGCACUGCAGGGGCCAGGCAGAAAAGGAGUUCAGAGUGGAAGUUGAGGAUAUUGGCCAUGUAAGGCAUGAAAAUAUUGUCUGUCUGCUAGGAUACUGCGUUGAGGGAAUCCACAGGUCAAUCACUCUAACAAUGUAUAUCUAGUUUUGUUUGUGCUCCAAUAUUUAUUACUAGAGGUUACUUUUUUACACAUUGUAGGUGGAUGUGUGCAAAUCUACUUUUUUACACAUUGUAUGGUUGUGAUUUAUUUCAUCUCACAUCCCUUAGUUCAACUUAUUUUUAUUCCAGGAUACUUGUGUAUGAGUAUGUCAACAAUGGAAACUUAGAACAGUGGAUGCAUGGCGCUAUGCGGCAACACGGUGUUCUUACUUGGAAAGCUCGAAUGAAAAUUGUUCUUGGAAUUGCUAGGGCGUAAGAAUCAAAUCAUUUGCAUGUUUUAUUCUGCAUAGUUUUAGUCGAGUAAGACAUUUUCUGGAACUGAAUGAUAUGCAGGCUUGCUUAUCUACAUGAAGCCAUAGAACCAAAAGUUGUUCAUCGUGAUAUCAAAGCAAGCAGCAUCCUAAUCGACGAGGAUUUCAAUGGGAAGCUUUCCAAUUUUGGAUUGGCCAAGCUGCUGGGUGCAGGGAAGAGCCAUAUCACAACUCGAGUUAUGGGAACUUUCGGGUAUGCCAUAGUUUUUGUAAUUUAUAGUACUCCCUCCAUUUUUGUAUAUACAAGGCCAUAAAUUCAAAUCACAGGUACCAAGAUAAAAUUUAAUACAUGUCUUGAAACCUAACUUUUCUUCUCAUUUACUGAGAUCAUUAAUACACCACAUGCAUGCAAGAAAUCUGGAUGGAGGAAGUAGUUGAGUGUCAUUAUGACUACAUUUAUGCAAAUAUUAAAUAAGUUAUUAGUACGAGAAAAAAACAUUAAUUUUGUCUCGUUUACUGUUAGUGGCCUGUAUAGAUGCAAAAUGUACUAUAUUUCAUAGUGGUCUUGUAUAAGUAAAUGAAGGGAGUACUUGAGUUUAGUCAUGGAAAUAUUUUGAUAUUCGCAUACAGUAUGAGGUUUUAAAUGUUGAGGAUUUGAGCGGUUAGUUUUGUAGGAGCACUUACCUUCAAUUCUGAUGCCAUCGAUCAGGUAUGUGGCCCCUGAAUAUGCCAACUCAGGUCUGUUAAACGAGCAGAGUGAUGUCUACAGUUUCGGUGUGCUGCUACUAGAAGUAUUGACUGGGAGGGAUCCUAUUGAUUAUGAUCAGCCAGCUAAUAUCACCAUUAAAUCAUAUAUAUAUUGUUCUUUGGUCAAUUUCGUUGUACGGGUUUGAUAUUGGAGAAAAAUAUUAGGGGGUGGACCUAUGAAAUGUUCCUUGAUCCGCCACUGCUCAAGUUUACGAUGCUUUCUCAUACUCAGGAAUACAUACUAGUGAGUAGUGGCCAUUUUUGUUCCAAGAGUAAAAUAACAUAUACUAGGAGAUGUUAGAAUAUAUACAUCGCGGGUGUGUUGGUCGGAGGAGAGCGACGAGGAUCGGCUGCAGACUGGCCCAAGGUGCAGAGCAACGUACUAGCGCGUGAGUGCGGCGGCAGGCAGGAGGAGCCUCGAACGGAUUCGAUGGUGGCAGCGUUACAUGAAGCGACACGAGUCCAAACGCUGACAAGCGUACAUACGAGCGGGAGCGGCGGCGACAGAUCAACCGAUCGAAAAUGCAGCGAGCAGCGGGUGCGCUGGUGUCACGCGGAGGCCGACUUGCUGGCCGAGCGUGCAGCUGGGCCCGAUCAGCGGGGUAAGGCCACGAAGGCCGAAACACUAGAGCCAGCUCAAGCUUUGGGUUACGAGGGUGUUGUGGUGCAUGUCUGAGGGUUUAUGCAGCUUCGACACGACUGUGGCGCAUGAUUGAUUCAAGGUAGUGUACACAGUGCUUGAAGUCAACAAGGCGUAAGGGUAGCUGAUACCUCUUGAGCUUGUGUUGGUUUUCUUGAAAAGGAAAGGUGAUGCAUCAAAAUAACAUAAGUAUUUUCCUCAGUUUUAAGAACCAAUGUAUCACUUCAGUAGGAGACAACACACAAGUCACUGAAUACCUGCACAAAGAAUUAACCACUUGCACCCAACGCGAUAAAGAGGUUGUCAAUCCCUUCACAGUCACUUGCAGGAAUGAGAUCUGAUAGAGAUAGAUAAACGGUAAGUAAAUAUUUUUUGGUAUUUUUGGUUUAUAGAUUGGAAAGUAAAGAUUGCAAAAUAGUAGAUCGGAAACUAGCAAAAUGUAAACGAGAUUCAAUAUAAUGGAAAAGAGACCCAGGGGCCAUAGGUUUCACUAGUGGCUUCUCUCAAGAUAACAAAUAUUACGGUGGGUAAACAAAUUACUGCUAAGCAAUUGAUAGAAAAGCGCAUAGUUAUGACGAUAUCUAAGGCAAUGAUCAUGAACAUAGACAUCAUAUCCGUGUCAAGUAGACCGACUCCUUCCUGCAUCUACUACUAUUACUCUACACAUCGACCGCUAUCCAGCAUGCAUCUAGAGUAUUAAGUUCAUAAAGAACGGCGUAACGCAUUAAGAAAGAUGACAUGAUGUAGAGGAAUUAACUCAAGCAAUAUGAUGAAAACCCCAUCUUUUUAUUCUCGAUGCAAACAAUACAAUACGUGCCUUGCUGCCCUACUGUCACUGGGAAAUGACAACGCAAGAUUGAACCCAAAGCUAAGCACUUCUCCCAUAGCAAGAAAGAUCAAUCUAGUAGGCCAAACUAAACCGACAAUUGAAGAGACUUGCAAAGAUAUCAAACCAUGCAUAUAAGAAUUUAGAAAAGAACCAAAUAAUAUUCAUAGAUAAUCUUGAUCAUAAAUCCACAAUUCAUCGAAUCUCGGCAAACACACCGCAAAAGAAUAUUAUAUCGAAUAGAUCCCCAAGAACAUCGAGGAGAACAUGGUAUUGAGAAUCAAAGAGAGAGAAGAAGCCAUCUAGCUAAUAACUAUGGACCCGAAGGUCUACGGUAAACUACUCAUGCUUCAACGGAGAGGUGAUAGUGUUGAUGUAGAAACCCUCUGUGAUCGAAUCCCCCUCCGGCAGGACAUCGAAAAAGGUCCCUAGAUGGGAUCUCACGGGUACAGAAGGUUGCGGCGGCGGCGGUGGCAACUUACGUGGGUCUCAUACCCAUCCGCCUCGAUGCAUUUUCUAUCACAAUCCGUGAUAGACCUUUUGUAAAAGGGUCUGCCAGAUUCUUAGCCAUUUGGAUAUAAUCCAAUGUUAUCACUCCAGAGUUUCUGGAUUUUCUGACAGGUUUUAAUCUUCUUCUUAUGUGCUUUGUGGUUUUAUAUUGUCCUUUGAGCUCUUAGCCUUGACAAUCACAGUUUGAUUGUCACAGUUCAUAAGGACAACCGGGACUGGUUUAUCAACCACUGGCAAAUCCAUCAAAAGCUCUCGAACCCAUUAUGCUUCGACACAUGAUGUGUCU
rnacentral:lncRNA from 1 species